rnacentral:rRNA from 1 species
GACGAACGCUGGCGGCGUGCUUAACACAUGCAAGUCGAACGGAAAGGCCUUUUCGGAGGUACUCGAGUGGCGAACGGGUGAGUAACACGUGGGUGAUCUGCCCUGCACUCUGGGAUAAGCCUGGGAAACUGGGUCUAAUACCGGAUAGGACCGCACUUUAGUGUGUGUGGUGGAAAGUUUUUUCGGUGUAGGAUGAGCCCGCGGCCUAUCAGCUUGUUGGUGGGGUAAUGGCCUACCAAGGCGGCGACGGGUAGCCGGACUGAGAGGUUGGUCGGCCACAUUGGGGCUGAGAUACGGCCCAGACUCCUACGGGAGGCAGCAGUGGGGAAUAUUGCACAAUGGGCGGAAGCCUGAUGCAGCGACGCCGCGUGGGGGAUGACGGCCUUCGGGUUGUAAACUCCUUUCGCCAGGGACGAAGCGUUUUGUGACGGUACCUGGAGAAGAAGCACCGGCUAACUACGUG